rnacentral:rRNA from 1 species
UACAGAGGGUGCUAGCGUUGUUCGGAAUCAUUGGGCGUAAAGGGCGUGUAGGCGGUUUGUUAAGUCAUGUGUGAAAUCCCUCGGCUCAACCGGGGAACGACGCAUGAAACUGGCAAGCUAGAGUACCAAAGAGGGGGGUGGAAUUCCUGGUGUAGCGGUGAAAUGCGCAGAUAUCAGGAAGAACACCAAUGGCGAAGGCAGCUCUCUGGGACGGUACUGACGCUGAGACGCGAAAGCGUGGGGAGCGAACAGG